CCUGAUACUUCCUGUAUAAACCCAGAAUGGAGGAUCUAGCAUCAAGAAGGCUGUAGUCAUGUUUCUAGCCCCGUACGAUGAAAGCCGGAUACUGAACUGUAUACCAAGGUGAAAGCAUUGAAUGGAUCCGGUUGGGAUGUGUUUUUAUCUGAACCUGUCCAUGUGCUUGGGAACUGAUUCAGCUUGAAAGAAUGCGAUGAACUCUUCAUGCUUAAGCUGAAAUUUUUCAGGUUCUUAACCAUGUGAUGGGUUUCAGCUCCAGUAUUAUAUUUUCCCAGUUUCUUUCAUGGUUGAUGUCCUCUACUGAGGUUCUCAAGCUUAUCAUGGUGUAUUGGUGAUUUUUGGAUGAAGUAAUGGUUGCUUUGGGCUCUUUCGAUAUUAUCAUUGCAAUCCACUGGAUAAGUCUAUUUUCUUCUAGAUGACAAUCAAAAUUGAGUGAGAGUACUCAUUGCCAACAUCCUUUCCUUCAUGGUGAUCGCUGGAGUUGAAGUUCAGCUUUUCAAGUGAUCAGAGCCCAUGACAAGAGGCCAUUUGUUCUGUUCCACACGAAAAGAGGGCAUCAGUGUUUAAUGUUGGAAGAUCAGUCAUUGAAUUCUUGUAUUGCAGCAGAACUAAUCUUCUGGGAAUUUCUUCUCUAAUGUU